UCUCCAUUGCCAUAGAAAACACAUCCUCUUGACUUACUGAGGAGGGAAACAGUUAUGGUUGCCCUGCUGGAGGUUACCAAGGUGAACGGAGCCAAGAUUAAAAUCUGCCAGCCCAGAGAUGCUCUGAAACACGGAAAGGCCCGGAGAGGAAAUCUAGUGUGCUAUUGGUAAAUUUUUUUUGGACGCUGUUUACGUUUGAACUUUUCUGUUUUCCUGUCGAAACUUCCGUACCCGCUUCCUGAGUCACCACGAAGGCCUGGACAAUGCGGUCCCAGCGCUGCGCUAGGACAUGGGCAGGGCCCCACUUCCUCCUUCCUGCAGGGAUAUCCUUUCCUAUAGAAGAGAGGCAUCGUCUAACAAGGAAGCUGAGAAGACCCACAGGAAAGGCAGAGCACUUGGCAGAAACGUCAUGGAUAAGCAGAGAUGCAAUGUGACAGGAGCAGCUGCUCCAUGCUCCCAACACCAUGAUGGAUUGUGCUCCUUCAAACUAUAAACAAAAACGGACCCUCCCUUCCUUAAGUUCUUCUUGUCAGGUGUUGUCGUACCAAUGAGAAAUGGGACCAUUGACAGAACGCUCCAGCUCAGAAAUACCACUGAAGGUCACAGGCUUGAUGGUUCUCAUCAUCAUCGUGGUGUUCUACUGGGAAACACUGAACAGUAGAGACUGGAUGAGUCCUGUAUAAGUCCCUGAGAUGGUUGAAGGAUUCCAGGGAAAGAACCUCUAGAAGUAAUGGCCGUUGCUCUGUGUGGAGAUAGAAACACCUCUACAUUUGCUACGUUGGUCUUCACACGAGAAGCAUUUUGUUACUUGCGUGAUAAUAGCAUCAGUGCCUGCUGUGGGCUGAGUGCUUACUAAGGCUUUGGAGAUAUGAAGUUUGUGAGAUAACACUCAUGAUAGAAAAGCCACAGAAAAGACUUCCGUGAACUCUAUUCAAGAAAACCAAUGCACUUAAGGCCAUGCCGUUUGCCAAAAGUCACCAUGCCAGCAAAUAUCAGCGUUGGGAUUCAUCCUCGGUAGUUUAGCUCCAUGAUGCAUGCACUCUUAAGCGCUACAUGAUUGAAAUUAGUAAGUGUGAUUUGAAAGCCUCUUCCUCGAGGCAUUUCGACCCACAUGUUUGUGAUGCCAUUUCUGAUUAUAUCGUUCAUCCAACAAACAUCUACUGAACACUUACCAUGGACAAAAGGCCUGCUGGGGUAUGGCCAAGAAUACAAGUCAGUGUGGUCACAAGCUAUGCCAUCCAGGAGAGAGUAUAGAGUGGAACACGUAGAAAGGCAAUGAUUCUGAGGGAAGGAGAGACACACCCAGCUCUGGAGUGUAGGGCGAAGCUGAGAGGGUAAGACCAGCCUCCAGAGAGCAGAGAAGCAGCAUACAAGGCUGCUGGGCUGUGGAGAAGUCUCCAGCAUCUGCCCAGGUAUCUUCUGCCCUGACUGGAAAGAAGCAUGGACAAGACCAGUGACUGGUUCAGAGGAGCAGCUUAAUAGUCAUAGAAAACACGCAUCACAGGUCAGCCAGAUGACAUUUAUAUACAAUCCUGGAAUCUUCUAAACCAGUGGUUCUCAACCUGUAGGUUGCUACCCUUUAGGCAAACUUCUAUCUCUAAAAAAUAUCUAAAUUACAGUUCAUAACA
rnacentral:sRNA from 1 species